CUCUCCCAUUCUCUCUGCCCCGUGCCCGACGCCGCUUGCCCUCAAUGCCGUUGCCCGAUGCCACUCACCCUUGAUGCCGUCAUCGCCGGAUGCCGCUCGCUGCCCACUCACCUUGCCCUUGCCUUCCUCAACGCCGUCACCCCCGCUCGCCCUGACGCUCAGCUGGCGUUGCCACUAGAUGCCGCUCACCCUCGACGUUGCCACUGGACACCACUCGCCCUCGACUCCGUUGUCGGACGCUACUCAUCCCCCCGGUGGAUACUGCUCACCUAGCUGCCCUUGACGUCGCUCGCUGCUUGCCUAGCCACCUCCAACACUACUCGCCCAGUCGCUCUUUGAUAGCACUUGUAAUCUUGCUAUGGGAUUGGGCCGUGCUAGUGUUGCCCUUCUUCUUCUGGGGCACGGCCAUGUUGGCCAUGAAGGAGGUCCUCCCCAAGGCCAGCCCUUUCUUUGUGUCCUCCUUCUGCCUCAUCCCUGCGGGGCUCCUCCCUGUCGCCUUCACGGCCUCUCGCGUCCACAAGGUGCCCUUCGGCCUCAACACUUGGCUCUCCAUCACCCUGUUCACCCUUGUGGAUGCCUGUUGUUUUUAGGGAUUUCUCGCUGAAGGGUUGCAGAGGACGUCGGUAAGUCUCAGAAGCAUAUGUUGAACUCACUGUAUGCUUUAUCUCAGUUUAAAUGCCUCCAUGAGAAGAAAAAAAGGAAAAAAAGUUUCAACCUUAUAAGUGAAUUAUAAGGUUCUUUGAUGUUAAAUAUGGCUACUAAGUAAUGGAAACUUUUGCAUAUUGCUUUGGAAAUGUGCCCUUAAGGAAAUGGCUCAUGUCAGAAGACUGAUGUCACUUACGCUGAAUCUUGCCUUUUUUCUUUUCCAUGACACUAAUGGAUGAAUGAGUACAAGUAAUACAAAGGUAGAUCGGUCUCUUAGUAUGGCUGCAAUUAUUAGUUGGAUUAGUCUUUACACAUUGUAUCCUCGACAUGGAAUCAAAAGUCUUGAUAUUUGUUCCCUCCUUGUUCAGUAGAUUUGGCAGUUGAUAGGAAACUAGCUAUUCUGCUUGGCUUACUGGAGCUGAAUUUGUUAUAGGUGAUAAUUGACUCUCAGCCAUUAACAGUGGCUAUACUUGCUACCCUGUUGUUCGGUGAAUCCAUUGGGUUAAUUGGAGGUGUAGGGCUGAUGCUUGGUGUUGUGGGACUUCUUCUUCUUGAAGUAAUCCUUGUGUCACCAGUUGUAUUGUGAUUAUGCUGGUGUUAAAUGAAUAUGCAUUGGCUUGAUCCAAAUAAAAAUUCUUUCAAAAGGUAGCAUAUGACUUAUUGUUUGGUCGUGGGCCUAUAGCUUGAUGCGAGCAUCUAUGAGUUUUACUAUGCUGACAGGAAAUUCCCAUGGGUUUUUUGCUGCUCAGCUUUCUCAAAUGUUGGUCUUAUGUAAAUGUUGACAACAUAUCUAUUGGCUUUUUUUCUUCUCUGUUACUGGGUUUGUAGUUACAGGUGACAAUCUUCAGACUGCUAAAGCAAUUGCUUUGGAAUGUGGGAUAUUAAGUUCUGAUACAGAUGCUAUUGAACCUAAUCUCAUUGAAGGAAAAGCCUUUCGUGCCUUUUCUGAUGGUCAAAGGGAAGAAAUUGCAAAAAUAAUAUCUAUAUGUUUUUGCUGAUUAGUUCCACUGUUUUACCCUCUUCUUGUACAGAGUGAAAUCUCAUCGUGCCUUGCAAGUUUAGGUGAUGGGACGAUCCUCACCAAAUGACAAGCUUUUGCUUGUGCAAGCUUUGAAGAAAUGAGGACAUGUAGUUGCCGUUACUGGGGAUGGCACAAAUGAUGCUCCUGCUCUAAAUGAGCCAAAUGCACAAUGUAAAACACAAAAGGAAGGUGCUGAAUUUGAACACUUUUGGGAGUUCUUGGGAGGAAAAUCGGAAUAUCCCAGCCAGAAGAUAGCACGAGAUUCUGAGAGUGAUCCUCACCUCUUUUCUUGCAUCUUCUCAAAAGGAAAUCUGAAGGUGUGUAAUUUCUACUCCAAAUCUAUCAAAGAAUGGAUGCUCCACCUGUGGUGCGGUAUGGAGUCAUCGCUCAUAUUGAAGUGUCUUUUCAUGAUGUUUACGACCUCAACAUUGAGAUGACUAAUACUCGGUACGAAGCCACACUAUGGAUGGACAAUGGGUGUGUCGAUUGGAUCCCUAUGCAGUUUGAGGCUUGGUUCAUUAACCAUAAAUGAGAGCUAUUCGGACCUCUUUGGUUCGGUGAUGGUGGGCCUAGAAUUAGAACGGGUGGCGUUUAGAGCACCUAGUUUGAGUGAAAGCUGAGGAUUUUUUUGUUUUUUUGAGAGACAUGGUUAGUUUAGGGGAUAGUGAAGAUAGGGUCCCUUUUGACCCAUUCCCAAGCUUGACGCAUACACUUUUGGUUUAUAUCUUGUAAAUAUUUACAUAUGUAUGCGUGGUACACGUAAGCUCCCAUGUUGAUGUAAGUAAGAAACAAGGGAAGAUCUUAACAAGAAAUGAGAUGGUGCCACUUCCAUGA